AUAAGGGCAUGGCUUACGGGCCCGAUUAUGGCCGAGCUGUGGGUCGGCGGCGGUCGCUUGCGACACGUGCUGUGCCAGCAGUUCGGUCCUGGUCGAGCUCCCAUAUUGCCUGUUCUCGGUGUAAGAGCUGGUCAUCUCUCCGACCCGUCUUGAAACACGGACCAAGGAGUUUAUCGUGUGCGCGAGUCAUUGGGCGUUGAAAACCCAAAGGCGCAAUGAAAGUGAAGUGCCACGCAAGUGGCUGAUGUGCGAUGUUGUGUUCCACGGAACACAACCGCAGCAUGGCCCCAUCCUGGCUGCUUGCAGCGGGGUGGAGGAAGAGCGUGCGCGAUGAGACCCGAAAGAUGGUGAACUAUUCCUGAGCAGGAUGAAGCCAGAGGAAACUCUGGUGGAAGUCCGAAGCGAUUCUGAC
rnacentral:rRNA from 1 species